rnacentral:rRNA from 1 species
AUUGAACGCUGGCGGCAGGCCUAACACAUGCAAGUCGAACGGUAACAGGAAGAAGCUUGCUUCUUUGCUGACGAGUGGCGGGCGGGUGAGUAAUGUCUGGGAAACUGCCUGAUGGAGGGGGAUAACUACUGGAAACGGUAGCUAAUACCGCAUAACGUCGCAAGACCAAAGAGGGGGACCUUCGGGCCUCUUGCCAUCGGAUGUGCCCAGAUGGGAUUAGCUAGUAGGUGGGGUAACGGCUCACCUAGGCGACGAUCCCUAGCUGGUCUGAGAGGAUGACCAGCCACACUGGAACUGAGACACGGUCCAGACUCCUACGGGAGGCAGCAGUGGGGAAUAUUGCACAAUGGGCGCAAGCCUGAUGCAGCCAUGCCGCGUGUAUGAAGAAGGCCUUCGGGUUGUAAAGUACUUUCAGCGGGGAGGAAGGGAGUAAAGUUAAUACCUUGGCUCAUUGACGUUACCCGCAGAAGAAGCACCGGCUAACUCCGUG